GAUUAAGUGUCGUAAGGGCAUUUGGUGGAUGCCUUGGCAUGCACAGGCGAAGAAGGACGUGAUACGCUGCGAAAAGCCGUGGGGAGCUGCGAAUAAGCUUUGAUCCAUGGAUAUCCGAAUGGGGAAACCCACCUUAAAUGCUUGGGAAAUCAUUUUGGUUGUUGGCUCUUUGAGCCAACGGUACGGCGAACGAUCGCCGACGGACUAUCGUCCUGUAUGGGAGUUUCCCUUACAGCGCGGUAGCGCGUCGCCGCUCGUGCGGCGUGCUUCAAAACCAAAGUGGUUUCCAAGCAUUGUGAUAAGGUAUCUAACCUUGAAUACAUAGGGGUUAGAAGCGAACGCAGGGAACUGAAACAUCUAAGUACCUGCAGGAAAGGACAUCAACCGAGACUCCGCAAGUAGUGGCGAGCGAACGCGGACCAGGCCAGUGGCAAUGAGGAAUAAAGCUGAACAGGUUGGAAAACCUGGCUAUAGUGGGUGAUAGCCCCGUAAGCGUAGAACACUCAUUGUCCUAGAGUAAGGCGGGACACGUGAAAUCCUGUCUGAACAUGGGGAGACCACUCUCCAAGCCUAAGUACUCGUGCAUGACCGAUAGCGAACAAGUACCGUGAGGGAAAGGUGAAAAGCACCCCGACAAGGGGAGUGAAAUAGAACCUGAAACCGGAUGCCUACAAGCAGUCGGAGGGCGCAAGCCUGACGGCGUACCUUUUGUAUAAUGGGUCAACGACUUAGUGUAACUAGCAAGCUUAAGCCGGUAGGUGUAGGCGCAGCGAAAGCGAGUCUGAAUAGGGCGUUUAGUUAGUUGCAUUAGACCCGAAACCGAGUGAUCUAGCCAUGAGCAGGCUGAAGGUUGGGUAACACCAACUGGAGGGCCGAACCCGCAUCUGUUGCAAUAGAUUGGGAUGACUUGUGGMUAGGGGUGAAAGGCCAAUCAAACUYSGWGAUAGCUGGUUCUCCGCGAAAUCUAUUUAGGUAGAGCGUCGACCGAAUACCCCAGGGGGUAGAGCACUGGAUGGGCUAUGGGGACUCACCGUCUUACUGAUCCUAACCAAACUCCGAAUACCUGGGAGUACUAGUCGGCAGACACACGGCGGGUGCUAACGUCCGUCGUGAAGA
rnacentral:rRNA from 1 species